CACUUUAUAACACACUGCUGUUUACCGCGGUACAAACCCAGCAAACACAAUGAAUCUCUUCAGCGGCUUCAUCUGGAUUCUCACAGCUUUUAUUCCAGCGUCCAGAGGAAUCACUGUGACUCAGCCUGAACGUCUAACUGUUCCUGAAGGACAAAACGCCAGAAUAGAGUGUAAAACUGAUCCUGGAAUAGAUGGCUGGGGUUUAGCUUGGUAUCAGCAGAAACAUGGAGAAACUCCUAAACUCAUCAUUACUGGAGUAAAUGAUCUCCAUGAUAGGAGUUUCAGUCGAUUCAGUGGGGAUGGAAGAUCUGGAGGAACAGAUUUCACUCUGAGCAUCAGUGGAGUCCAGACUGAAGAUGCUGGACAUUAUUACUGUAUGAGCAGACACAUCAUCAACAGUAACUAUGUGUUGACACAUGAUUCUGGAUUCAGUGUUUGUGGACUGCAGCUCUUCAUCUUUAUCUGUUUGCUCAGAGGCGAAACGCUCAUGUCUGAGUCGGCUUUCUCCAAAGCUUUCUUCUGUAUCUCCAUCAGUUUUGCUUCAUCAUCUCCAUCACAGAUUGUGUUGUUUGGUUGA